rnacentral:rRNA from 1 species
CCGUUGCCGAGAGUCAUUGUAUGUAAAUGUUGUGUCGUGACGACUCCCGCGGGACACCGUCUCCGGGCCCCCGGGAGUCGCACUUAACAGAUUUGAGUUCCUUGGCGCACGAAGCGCCGGGGUUUGUGUUUGUCGCGAGGACGAGGAGGCCGGGCGCACGGGGCGCCGUGGUCAUCCCCUCCCUCCCGACGGUAGAUGAAUAAACAAGUUCGCGGGUCAAUCUGAUUGUGAGGCAUCGACAAUGAUCCUUCCGCAGGUUCACCUACGGAAAUCGAAUUCCGGCUGCCACAC